GGUGACGCUCAUCGAUGGCUGUGUCCGGCGGGAUGGGCACGGCUGAGAGGAGCUCUUCGCCGCGCCGGAUCUGUCCGUCCAUGUGUAGGCGCCGCCGUCCUGAUCCCCUUGCUAGAACUUUCAGGUGAAGAAGAGGAGGAACCUGCAUGGGGCGUGCUCCUUUAGGGUUCAGACAUUUUUUACAAUACUGAGAGCAUUAUCUCGUAAUAAUGUUUUUACAUCUUUUCAUAUCCAGUGACUGAGCAGGCUAUUGCUGCUGGAGAUAUAUGUGCUAUAUGCCAAGAGAAGAUGCAUGGCCCCAUUCUUUUGCGCUGUAAAUAUGUCUUCUGCAAAGAUUGUGUCUCUAAAUGAUGAUGGCAGGUUUGAGAGGGAGCAUACUUGCCCGUUGUGUGAUCUGUCCAUUCUAACUGGGUUUGCCUCGUAAAAUGCAUUGGGUAAGUAAAUUCGAAAAAGCUGGGUACUAGCUCGUGCACAUCAUACUACUAGAUUUUUUAACACUUGUGGAGGUUGAGUUG